AUGAGGCAUUCUGUAAUAGUUCAAAAACUAGAACCAAGCAAAGGACUAACAAUAGAGCCUACAAAACUAAGUGGGAAACUACGAAGCCCUUUACCAAGUCCAGUUCCCUCACCAGUCACAAGUCCUUCACCAACGAGAAGCCGUUUUCACGUAUCAAAAGUGUCAGAAAUGUCUGAUUCGUUCACGUCCACCGACUCGAACACAUCUUCCUCUCUCUCACCAUCAUCAAUGUUCAGUAAUUCAAGGUUUAAGGUCACAGUGGUCGAACCUGAAAAAUCAACCGUUGUCAUCUCAGUACCGUCCAAAAAAAACACAACUGUUGGUUUUGAGUGUGUUCCUCCCUCACCCACUACGCAGAAAUUAAACAAAGAGAACUCAUCGGAGUCAAGAAUCAGUUUUCCUUUCAAGCUUAAUAAACCAAUCGAUAGCUUGGACAUUGUUGCAUCAAAAAUCAUGAAACAACCUGCAGUAGACCUAGCCGCCCCACCCAGAGCCCGUAAAAUCUCUUGGAUUGCUCCAUCUUCAAUGUUCUCUUUUUCUCAAAUGCAAGCAUCAAUUGAUGAUAUCAACAAACCAACAUCAAGUUUAGACCGAUUAAUAGACCUGUUUAAAAGUCCGUUCAGUCAGUUUCAAAACAAACCGCAAAGUGCAGUCACCGAUGCAACAUCUGAUGAACGGAACCAAGCACCUCCUGUUGGGCCUUUUUCCAGUGUUGAAAAUAACAACUGUUUGGAACUUCAAGGCAUCCAAACAUAUUUGGUGCCCCCAGAAACAAACAACAAAACAAUACCAUUGAGCAGUGAGCGCAAUACUGAAGAGACCCCUUAUACUCCAAUGGUCAGUAGCCCCUCAAGGAAUGAACUGCUAUUUCCUGAAGAAGAUGAGAAAAUUAUUGUCACCAUUAGUGAAAGUGCAACACAAUGUGGUAGGAAUACAUGCAUGAUUGGUCUCUCUGAUAAAAGCCACCCUGUGAAUGCGGAUAGUUCUGUGGACUUAAGUCCAGAUCAUACAUCCUCAGAACUAAAGAUUCGAGAUCAGCCUCUGCAUUCAACAGUUCUAAUGAUAGCUGUAGCCUAA
rnacentral:lncRNA from 1 species